GACGAACGCUGGCGGCGUGCCUAAUACAUGCAAGUCGAGCGAAUGGAUUAAGAGCUUGCUCUUAUGAAGUUAGCGGCGGACAGGUGAGUAACACGUGGGUAACCUGCCCAUAAGACUGGGAUAACUCCGGGAAACCGGGGCUAAUACCGGAUAACAUUUUGAACCGCAUGGUUCGAAAUUGAAAGGCGGCUUCGGCUGUCACUUAUGGAUGGACCCGCGUCGCAUUAGCUAGUUGGUGAGGUAACGGCUCACCAAGGCAACGAUGCAUAGCCGACCUGAGAGGGUGAUCGGCCAGACUGGGACUGAGACACGGCCCAGACUCCUACGGGAGGUAGCAGUAGGGAAUCUUCCGCAAUGGACGAAAGUCUGACGGAGCAACGCCGCGUGAGUGAUGAAGGCUUUCGGGUCGUAAAACUCUGUUGUUAGGGAAGAACAAGUGCUAGUUGAAUAAGCUGGCACCUUGACGGUACCUAACCAGAAAGCCACGGCUAACUACGUGCCAGCCGCCGCGGUAA
rnacentral:rRNA from 1 species